GACGAACGCUGGCGGCGUGCUUAACACAUGCAAGUCGAGCGGUAAGGCCCUUUCGGGGGUACGACGAGCGGCGAACGGGUGAGUAACACGUGGGUGACCUGCCCUCAGCUCUGGGAUAAGCCUGGGAAACCGGGUCUAAUACCGGAUAUGACUCCAUGACGCAUGUUGUGGGGUGGAAAGCCUGUGCGGCUGAGGAUGGGCCCGCGGCCUAUCAGCUUGUUGGUGGGGUGAUGGCCUACCAAGGCGACGACGGGUAGCCGGCCUGAGAGGGCGACCGGCCACACUGGGGCUGAGACACGGCCCAGACUCCUACGGGAGGCGAGCAGUGGGGAAUCUUGCGCAAUGGGCGAAAGCCUGACGCAGCGACGCCGC
rnacentral:rRNA from 1 species